UGGCCAGUAGCCAAGUGGCAAGGCACCGCUCUUUGGAAGCGGCAUUCGUUGGUUCGAUCCCAACCUGGCCAG
rnacentral:tRNA from 2 species